AGUGAACGCUGGCGGCGUGUCUAAUACAUGCAAGUCGAACGGAGUGGCGCACGGGUGAGUAGUGUAUAGCUAAUCUGCCCUACACUAGAGGACAACAGGUGGAAACGGAUGCUAAUACUCUAUAGUGUAGGAUGAGGUUAUAUUGUAUCAGCUAGUUGGUGAGGUAAUGGCUCCACAAGGCUAUGACGCAGUACUGGUCUGAGAGGACAAUCAGUCACACUGGCACUGAGUCACGGUCCAGGUUCCUACGAGGGGAAGAAGUCUGGAAGAUUGCUCGAUGGGGUAAACCCUGAUGCAGCAACACCGCGUGAAGAAUAACACUUUUAUGAGCGUAAACUCCUUUUGUUAGGGAAGCGGUACCUAACGAAUAAGCACCGGCAAACACCGUGCCAGCAGCCACGGUGAUAG
rnacentral:rRNA from 1 species